ACUAUUUUGGCAGAAAAAAUGUAAUGAUUUUAGAAUUCAUAUGUAUAUAUAAAUUUUAUUUAUAUAAAUAGUA
rnacentral:tRNA from 1 species